AGAGUGAACGCUGGCGGCAGGCCUAACACAUGCAAGUCGAGCGGCAGCGCGGGAGUAGCAAUACUUCUGGCGGCGAGCGGCGGACGGGUGAGGAACACAUCGGAAUCUACCCUGUCGUGGGGGACAACGUAGGGAAACUUACGCUAAUACCGCAUACGACCUUUGGGUGAAAGUGGGGGACUCGCAAGAGCCUCACGCGAUUGGAUGAGCCGAUGUCCGAUUAGCUAGUUGGUGGGGUAAUGGCCCACCAAGGCGACGAUCGGUAGCUGGUCUGAGAGGACGACCAGCCACACUGGAACUGAGACACGGUCCAGACUCCUACGGGAGGCAGCAGUGGGGAAUAUUGGACAAUGGGGGCAACCCUGAUCCAGCCAUGCCGCGUGGAUGAAGAAGGUCUUCGGAUUGUAAAGUCCUUUCGACGGGGACGAUGAUGACGGUACCCGUAGAAGAGCCCGGCUAACUUCGCGCCAGCAGCCGCGGU
rnacentral:rRNA from 1 species